rnacentral:tRNA from 1 species
UUAUAUAAAGUAAUUAUUUACAUUUAAUUUCGACUUAAAAAUAGGGUAUAACCAUUUAUAAA